rnacentral:piRNA from 1 species
UCCAAGUAUGGAAGUCUACUGUGUGCUGU